AGUGAACGCUGGCGGCGUGCUUAACACAUGCAAGUCGAACGAGAACGGAUUAUAGCUUGCUAUAAUUGUCAGCUAAGUGGCGCACGGGUGAGUAAUAUAUAGGUAACGUGCCCCAAAGAAGAGGAUAACAGAUGGAAACGUCUGCUAAGACUCUAUAUGCCUUUAUGACAAAAGUCAGCAAGGGAAUAUUUAUAGCUUUGGGAUCGGCCUGUACAGUAUCAGUUAGUUGGUGAGGUAAUGGCUCACCAAGACAAUGACGCUUAACUGGUUUGAGAGGAUGAUCAGUCACACUGGAACUGAGACACGGUCCAGACUCCUACGGGAGGCAGCAGUGGGGAAUAUUGCACAAUGGACGAAAGUCUGAUGCAGCAACGCCGCGUGGAGGAUGACACAUUUCGGUGCGUAAACUCCUUUUAUAUAGGAAGAUAAUGACGGUACUAUAUGAAUAAGCACCGGCUAACUCCGUGCCAG
rnacentral:rRNA from 1 species